ensembl:lncRNA uncharacterized LOC115616389
GCGCUUCGCGCCAUCAGCCCCCCGUGAGGGCGCCCAACGGUCAUGAAAUCCACAUCUCUACCCCUUCAUUUCUGCACUGCCUCUGCUGCAUGUGUCCCAUCUUGUCUCUUUUCUGUUGGGGUAAGUUGAUUUUCUUGACCCCAUGCUGAGAAGCACGUAGAUUAAAACACGACAAAGAGAAAUGCUCAAGUGCUGUAAAGCCAUUGGAGUUCGAGAAGCAGAUGAUGCCUCACUGGCUCUGCUGACCUCCUGCACUCCAUCUGUGCAUGGUAAGGAGGGAUUUGUGCCUAGAGUUCCCCUUUAAACCAUGCAUGGAUUUGGGUUCUGCAUUGUGGUACCUUCCCUUGUGCAUGUCAGCAGCUGGCUGUGAUUUAAAGCACCAAUCUAGAAGAUGGAAAAGCUUCUGCUCUGUGCAAGCCUGCUAAAUUAUAAUGCAACUGAAAUGUAAUUACUUGAAUCCUGCACAGAGAAUACAAAACAUGGAGGUAGGGAUGUGAGUUUCCCCACUCUAAUUCAAUUUAUUGUGGCUUGCCUUAAAGUGGCCUCAUGUAAAACAUAUAAAGACAACAAAGUUGUUCCACUUUGGUUCUCAAGGUCACUUCCCCCCAGAAGAGCUGAACUAGUUGUUUCAACAAGUUGAAUUAAUCCUCUUACACUGCAAGGAAAGGUUUGACUACAAGAAGUUGUGUUUUCAGAGCAUCUACCUAAUGAUUUGAAACAUUUAGAAGUGAUUUUAUUUAAAGCUAAAAGGAAAACAAACCAUUAGAGAAAGCAGCUCAUCACUAUUGGCUUCCUUUUUGAGCUGUACCCACCCAAAUGGCAUUUAUCCCUCACUAGUUAAUAAGAAAUACAGGCAACAAGCACAGUAAUCAGUGAGGAAACAAUCCACAUAGCCCCCUAUAGUCCUUACUAUGCAUUUACUAAGAGGUACAUCAAGUGUUUGAAAAGGGGAGCUUUCCAGUUCGUGAAAAACCCAUUUAGCAAAGCUAUGCUGUGGGGUAGGGAAGGGAAAAUGAGGUCUGGGUGCAACAGUGCCUGCAGGGAAAACACUUCACCACUUACAGCAGCAUCCCCAGCCUCCAUUCUAACAGUAUUUAUUAACACUGCUGCUUCUGAUGGUGUCUUGAGAUGAAAAUCAACCAGGAGGGUUCAGCACGUCACAAGGUCAGAUGUAAACUGCCUCUUUGCAAGCUUUUUGCAGGCUGAGAAAGGUGGUUGUCAUUCUUCUUGUGCUACUGUGGAGUCCUGGCCCUUAAGCCAAGCAGCCAAGUGGUUGUAGUACCAGUACCAUGGCCCAGCUCCCAGGCAAGUACCAGUGCAGCAGAGCUGCUCUUUGCAUUGCAGCACUUCAUUAUUGGAGCAUUUCCCAGGAAACCACAUUGGAUACAUGCAGUUCAGCCUCACAUCCAGGUCAACUACUUCACCUGGAUUAUUCUUCAGUUAAUACCUUCAUUUCUUCUUCAAGAAGGACUUUCAGCCAUGAUCAGCCUUAAGUACUUGGGAAGUACUUGACUCUGUUGGCUCAUUUUCCAUUCCAGUUGAGGUGUCACCACUCUCCAGUUCUGGUUAAGCAGCAGCAUUGUCUGGAGUAACAAGUGAUCUGUGCACCACUGCAAAGUCAACACAGAGGCUGUUUGGCUUUCCUCUCCAUUAAGCAAACUGGGAUGACUCACAAAACUAUUACCAAAGCUUUUUGCUAUUUGAGGUCUCACUAGACAGUUGACUAGAAGUCAAGCAUUCUCUAUAUUUUGGCAUUAUAAUGAUGUCUUCAAAGAAUAAGCAUCAUUUUAUAGGAUUUAAAGCAUUUUAGGAGGUUUCCCCAUCUCCAGCCCUAGGAAAGGAUUUUUAAUGCACAUCCCUUUGAUAAUUGCAUUUUAAGAAGCAAUGAGAAGAUGAUACAUGAUAUAAAAGACACUCUUACCCAGCCUGUGUUGGGAAAAGGAGAAGUUUAGGGACAUUCCUCCUGUUUCUGGAUACACUUAGUAGAUGAAGAGAGCCAACACGGACAAAGCUUUAGUUAGGAUUUACAGUGGAUGUUCAGAGAACAACUACAUUUAAGAAAUGAUAUUUUAUGAUCUGAUUUAGUGGAUGUGCCAAACAAACAUUCUGUUUAUCAGGGCUUUUUUUUUUUUCAGAGCAUUAAAACAGGAAUGCCCUCCCUGGGAAAACUCAGGAUUAUCUUUUCAACACGUCCAAAGGUAUUGCUCUGUCAGAUGCUCACUCUGCCUCCUUCCCCAGCAUUUACCAACCAAGAACACUGACCUCAUAGUUGGCAGGGGAGUUCUGAAGCCACCGAGUCCAUCACAGCCCCCACAGUUGAUAACCUGAGCAGGCUUUCUCAUAGGAACAACUGAGACUUUUCUUCUUACAACCUUGAAGAAGAGACUAAAAACAGCACUGAAGACAAGGGUUGUUUUUUCUCAAGGUCCAUUCCUCCUUACUUGUUCUUGUGCCAACGUUCUCAUGCAGUUUAAAUAGGGGACUUUUUCUUUCCUUCAUGUGUAUUUAUAGACAGCAGUGAUACCCAUUCCUAAAGUUGAUUUUGUCAGACUACUUAAAUUUCUUUCAUCUUCGCCCAUGUAGCACAUUUCCCAUCUGACUCACUACCCCCAUGCUAUAGUGGUGCAACAGUACUUUUAAGCUUUCAUCUUAUGCAGUGUGUUUUCUAAAGCAGCUAUAGAAGCCCUGAUUGAUUUUUAAGAGUAAAAGCUUCCCCUGGGUAAUCUCUAGCUCUUAUCCAAAAGCCUAGAUCUGUAAGCUUGGGGAAGUACUCACCAGCUCCAGUGUCAUCCUUCAGCACCUGCACAAGGUGAGCAAUGCUGACCUGGAAACAGCAGUCAGGAUGGUUUCAAUAUCCAGGUCAGCAGGCAAGAGAAAGAGAAUGAGGCAGGUCUCAGGGCCAGACAGGAAUUAGCUGUAGAUCAUGCUGUGGGCUGGUGAGGACAGUCAGGAUUAGCCAAAACCCAGUGGUCACUUGCCAAAUCCACAGCAAUGAGGCUAAUUGAAGAGGAAGCUGGGAUGGAAAACUGGAGAUCCAUAGCCAAAACCAAACCCCUACACUGCACGGCAAGCACUGAAACAAGGAGUUCCUAGGCUUGGCUUAAAUAGAGCUCCUGGCCUGUGGUGGAGGCCCCAGGUGAAGCUGCUCAGGGUCAGUGAGAUUUGUAAGUGCCUCCAGGCACCCACAGGGUGUUACUUAGGUGUGGUAGGAAAGGCUUUGUCUCUGCAGCAGCUCUGCUUUGGGGUAAAGUAAUUCUGUUGCUUUUUUUCUUAAGCUUUGCUUUAGAGUUUGUCUUAAAUGUAAUAUUUUCAAUGUUUGUUGAAAGCCUAUGGGUUUAGUUGAAGAAAAAGUAGCUUAUCACUUUGGAGACUGCUUCAUGUGUUGCUCUUCUCCUCAGCUCUGAGUCUUUACUGCCCAUGUUCUUAAGUUUAUCCUGUUUCUCCUACCACAGCAAUUACAAAAUCAAACGCUUGACAGCCAAAAUCCCACUGAAACUUCCUCAUAGGCUUCCAGAAUUUUAGAGUUAAGUAGAAACAACUUAUUUGCAAUACAGAUGAUCUUCUGUUGCUGUGAAUGCUUCUGAUGUAGGGGACUGUGGUCUUUCAGAGCACCUCACGCUGUAGCAAGCCCUGUGUGAGCAGCCACCAGCAGCAGCGUGGGGCUGCAUUGAUUUAGAUGUCAUUCUCAAUUGCAUUCAAAAUGUUUUUUGCAGAGCAGCUCUUUGCACUUGGCUGGGUCCUUGAAGAGGAUGUUUGCUGCAGCACAAGAGAAAUAUUUACUGUGGAGUAAACUGGGAAUCAUGGAAAAGAAAGUGAGACGGAAGACAUUCCUUUUGAAAUUGGGAAGUGAAUUAAAGGUCCUUGUCAAGAUGACACUUCCUUGCAUACCUUUUUAGCCUUUCCAGUCAGCAGAGGAGCUGGCAAACAGUUCUCUUAUGGCUCAUGGUUUGGUUGCCUUGAUAUCCAAAUGACUGAUCCUGCCAUCUACAGAGACUAAAUGACGCUCUUGCCAUCACAGUGGACUAGAAGAGAUGAAGAUGGCAGGAUCCUUCAGCCCCUUGUGGGAAGAUGCUACAAUGUAAGAAGGUGUCAUGUCUAAAAAUGUUCUUGCCACUGAAACCAGUAGGAUCUUCUGUGGUUACAUCUUCAAGGUGGGAGUUUGCCAUGCCUCACGUGAUUGAAGGAAGUUCUCUGUGUGAAAGCCAAAGAAAAUGCUAAGAAGGCACUAAUAAGUGUUUGUCAUGAGUAUGGAAGGCUACUGUAUCAGCAGCUUGGUAGCUCUUUGUUCUAAAGGGCUUGAUUAUUUAAUUUCUUUCUAUAAAAGUAAUGUGGUGAAAUUGAAACAGUGUGAAAUUAAAACGGUAUCGAUGCAGAUUUGGCACCAUUGGUUUUGAAGUCUGAAAUAGGUCCUUAAAUAGCGCGAUCGGCUGUGGCAGAACAUGUGCAUGGGAAGAAGUCAGAGGCACGGCUGUUGAACCAACUGGUGCACAGACUGGAGAAGGUGGUGAUGAAGAUUGCGAUGAUGAUGGUGAUGAUGAUGGUUAUGAUGCUGUAUUGUAGAGAUGUGUCUAUUAACACAUAGGAAGAGCUUUGCCGUGUUCACACAGGUUUGUGGUGUGUGUAGUGCCCAGUGAGCAUCUGCCCUCUGUGUUGGUGACAGGAUGAAGCAACUGGUGAUUGUUAUACACCAGCUGUGGUUUAAGGAGAAAAAGAAAUAAAAACCUACCAAGCACAA